GCAACGCGAAGAACCUUACCUGGUCUUGACAUCCACAGAAUUUUGUAGAGAUACGAAAGUGCCUUAGGGAGCUGUGAGACAGGUGCUGCAUGGCUGUCGUCAGCUCGUGUUGUGAAAUGUUGGGUUAAGUCCCGCAACGAGCGCAACCCUUAUCCUUUGUUGCCAUCGGUUAGGCCGGGAACUCAAAGGAGACUGCCGUUGAUAAAGCGGAGGAAGGUGGGGAGGACGUCAAGUCAUCAUGGCCCUUACGACCAGGGCUACACACGUGCUACAAUGGCGCAUACAAAGAGAAGCAACCCAGCGAUGGCAAGCGGACCUCAUAAAGUGCGUCUAAGUUCGGAUUGGAGUCUGCAACUCGACUCCAUGAAGUCGGAAUCGCUAGUAAUCGUGAAUCAGAAUGUCACGGUGAAUACGUUCCCGGGCCUUGUACACACCGCCCGUC
rnacentral:rRNA from 1 species